rnacentral:rRNA from 1 species
AGAGUUUGAUCCUGGCUCAGAUUGAACGCUGGCGGCAUGCUUUACACAUGCAAGUCGAACGGCAGCACGGGCUUCGGCCUGGUGGCGAGUGGCGAACGGGUGAGUAAUGCAUCGGAACGUACCGUGUAAUGGGGGAUAACGUAGCGAAAGUUACGCUAAUACCGCAUACGCCCUGAGGGGGAAAGCGGGGGAUCGUAAGACCUCGCGUUAUACGAGCGGCCGAUGUCGGAUUAGCUAGUUGGUGGGGUAAAGGCCUACCAAGGCGACGAUCCGUAGCGGGUCUGAGAGGAUGAUCCGCCACACUGGGACUGAGACACGGCCCAGACUCCUACGGGAGGCAGCAGUGGGGAAUUUUGGACAAUGGGCGCAAGCCUGAUCCAGCCAUGCCGCGUGAGUGAAGAAGGCCUUCGGGUUGUAAAGCUCUUUCAGACGGAAAGAAAUCGCGCGCUCUAACAUAGCGCGUGGAUGACGGUACCGUAAGAAGAAGCACCGGCUAACUACGUG